rnacentral:rRNA from 1 species
AGAGUUUGAUCAUGGCUCAGGAUGAACGCUGGCGGCGUGCCUAACACAUGCAAGUCGAGCGAUUCUCUUCGGAGAAGAGCGGCGGACGGGUGAGUAACGCGUGGGUAACCUGCCCUGUACACACGGAUAACAUACCGAAAGGUAUGCUAAUACGAGAUAAUAUACUUUUAUCGCAUGGUAGAAGUAUCAAAGCUUUUGCGGUACAGGAUGGACCCGCGUCUGAUUAGCUAGUUGGUAAGGUAACGGCUUACCAAGGCGACGAUCAGUAGCCGACCUGAGAGGGUGAUCGGCCACAUUGGAACUGAGACACGGUCCAAACUCCUACGGGAGGCAGCAGUGGGGAAUAUUGCACAAUGGGCGAAAGCCUGAUGCAGCAACGCCGCGUGAGCGAUGAAGGCCUUCGGGUCGUAAAGCUCUGUCCUCAAGGAAGAUAAUGACGGUACUUGAGGAGGAAGCCCCGGCUAACUACGUG